UUUACAUGAUGAGUAACCAGAUAGGGACAACAGAAUUUAAAGGUGACGAGGAAAGUCUUUAAAGUCCAGUUUUUAGUAGAGCUUGGACGCCACUCUGAUC
rnacentral:snoRNA from 1 species